rnacentral:rRNA from 1 species
CCUACGGGAGGCAGCAGUGGGGAAUAUUGCACAAUGGGCGCAAGCCUGAUGCAGCCAUGCCGCGUGUGUGAAGAAGGCCUUAGGGUUGUAAAGCACUUUCAGCGAGGAGGAAGGCGUUGUAGUUAAUAGCUGCAGCGAUUGACGUUACUCGCAGAAGAAGCACCGGCUAACU